AUAUUCACAUUUUUGUACUUCUAGUUCUGCAUUCCAGGAAGCCGACAUAGUAAGCUCUAAGGACAGUGGUCAUGGAGACAGUGAACAGGGAGACAGUGAUCAUGAUGCCACCAACCGUGCCCAGUCAGCUGGUAUGGAUCUCUUCUCCAAUUGCACUGAGGAAUGUAAAGCUCUGGGCCACUCAGAUCGGUGCUGGAUGCCUUCUUUUGUCCCUUCUGAUGGACGCCAGGCUGCUGAUUAUCGCAGCAAUCUGCAUGUUCCCGGCAUGGACUCUGUUCCAGACACUGAGGUGUUUGAAACUCCAGAAGCCCAGCCUGGGGCAGAGCGGUCCUUUUCCACCUUUGGCAAAGAGAAGGCCCUUCACAGCACUCUGGAGAGGAAGGAGCUGGAUGGACUGCUGACUAAUACGCGAGCGCCUUACAAACCACCAUAUUUGAAGCUAUUGUGGAGGCAGCUAUGUGGAGAGACACAUGUGGCACAAGAUCAGGGGCUGUCAACAACCACAUGAGUGAGCUUGGAAACAGACUCCCAAGUUGAGCAUUCAGAUGAGACCACAGCCCCUGCUGACAGUUUGACUGCAACCUUUGAGAGUCCUUAGCCAGAGGCACCCAGCUAAGCUGCACUAAAAUUUUUGAACCACACAGAUUGUGAGAUAAUAAAUAUUUGUGGUUUUAUGUUGCGAUGUUUUGGGGUAUAUUGCCAUGUGGCAAUAAAUAGUUAAUACAUUAUGUAGGUGAGAAUCCUAUUGUCUGAUACAGUAAUAUGAAGCAUUGAUUUUUCUGGUGUGAUGUGGCCAUUUUCAAAACCAAUAUGUAUAAUGUACACACCCUGUUGCUUUACCUUCGUCUUCAAUUUUCAGUUCUUGCUUACUCCUCUUUCCCUGACCUUGCACACAAAAAAUCAUCCCCACCAUUUUUGGGAUUGAUCUACUAGCUUAAAAAAAAUAAAGCUGUCCUCAUCAGAUGAAA
rnacentral:sRNA from 1 species